GGCUCGUCCGCGACUUGCCGGAGAUCGAGCUGCUCGGCACCCGCAAGGUCCGUCCUGCCGACAACGACACUCUGUUCAAAGCUUGAUUUUCUCCACCCCUUGGAUGCAGAACUCUGUUCGGCUGCGCUUUGGCCGACAACGAUUAGAGGCCUCCAUCAGCAGCUUACCAACAGCCGCGUAAUUAGAAAGGCAACGACGAAGUUCCGCGAUGGCCAUGGCUGGGAGGAGGAGCAGAUCCAUCAGAAGCUCGCUGUGGCGCAAGACUGGCGGCAGGAAGGCAUCGAGGACGAGCAGCUGGCUGCCUUUCGCGAGAUGCUGCUGUUGGUCUCCAUGGGAAGCCGCCACCGGCAACCUUCCUGACACCUCCAUGAGAUGCAGCUGUCGGCCACCAUUCUGUUCGCAGCGAGCUUGACAUGCCUAAUGAGAUGUUGCCUGCUGCUCGUCUGCCAUGCUCGCGCUCCUUGCUGUGGCUGUCCGAGCGGGCCAAGGGCAGGGGCUGCAGUCAUAUUCCUGGUGGAUAGUCGGGACGAGCGACGCGGACGAUGGCCGUGUUAUGGGGGAGGAGUGGGGCCGUCAGAAGCUCGCUGUGGCGCAAGGCUGGCGGCAUGGAGGCGCGGAGGAGAGCUGGUCGGUGGCUGCCUUUGCGAGGUGCUGCUGCCGGGCUCCAUGGGGAGCCACCGCCGGCAAUCUCCUGUUGCCGGCCACCAUUCCGUGUCGUAGCAGGACGCCACCCCAACAAGCUAGCUUCUCCCAGUGAGCUCUCUCUCCUCCAUGAAGCCUUGCUACAAUUUCUUUCUCUCGUGUUGAAUUGAGCAUGUCGGUAGUAAAUAAAAGCUUGCAUGUAUAAAACCCCACAAGGUUCAUUUCAGGUGUGAUCGACAGAUCGAUCUCAUCGGCAGCGCUGUGUGUGUUUUUGGGUGUCUUGGUUAGAGGAUUGAACAAGCCUUGGGUAAUCCUCAACUUCUCAAGGAUGUUCCCUGUUUUCUGUGGCAUUGUUAUUGUGAAUUAAAUCCAUGUGCAGCAGCGACUUGCCUUGGAUAAUUUAGCAGAGCGGCAUGGUUUCGUGAUACUUAAGUGUUUACUUAUUGUUUGCACGGCAUUGGUAAUUUUGACAUCUGACCAUUGGCCUGAGAGUAAAGGUGAAUUUUCUUUGUUGGUGCCUGUUGUGUAUGGUUGAUACUUUGCUAUGUUAGUGAAAAUAAAGGUGUUCAUUAGGCUCUG